CCUACGGGUGGCAGCAGUGGGGAAUAUUGCGCAAUGGGCGAAAGCCUGACGCAGCGACGCCGCGUGAGGGAUGAAGGUCUUCGGAUCGUAAACCUCUGUCAGCAGGGAAGAACGGUCACUGUGCUAAUCAGCAGUGAAUUGACGGUACCUGCAAAGGAAGCACCGGCUAACUCCGUGCCAGCAGCCGCGGUAAUACGGAGGGUGCGAGCGUUAAUCGGAAUUACUGGGCGUAAAGGGCGCGUAGGCGGUAUGUCAAGUCAAGGGUGAAAUCCCCGGGCUCAACGUGGGAACUGCCUUUGAAACUGGCAAACUGGAGUGUGUGAGAGGAUAGUGGAAUUCCAGGUGUAGGGGUGAAAUGCGUAGAUAUCUGGAGGAACAUCAGUGGCGAAGGCGACUAUCUGGCACAUAACUGACGCUGAGGAGCGAAAGCGUGGGUAGCAAACAGGAUUAGAUACCCUUGUAGUC
rnacentral:rRNA from 1 species